rnacentral:tRNA from 1 species
GUGGUUGUGGCUCAGUGGUAGAGCACUUGCCUAGCACGUGUGAGGCUCUGGGUUCCAUCCUCAGCACCACA